rnacentral:lncRNA from 1 species
GGGUAGCAGAUCCUUGCCAUUAGAGGAAUUGAAGCCCCAGAACUCACAAAUUGUAUCAAAUUCAGCCCAUAAUUCUUCUAUGGUUAAUUUUCCUCUCUUAUUGAUGAUGGGUUCAGGAAAUAAUUGCAUUUUGUGUGUGUGUGUGUUCAGUUCUUGAGAUAAUUUUCCUCUCUUAUUGAUGAUGGGUUCAGGAAAUAAUUGCAUUUUGUGUGUGUGUGUG